rnacentral:rRNA from 1 species
CAGUCGCCGCGGUAAUGCGAAGGGGGCUAGCGUUGCUCGGAAUCACUGGGCGUAAAGGGUGCGUAGGCGGGUCUUUAAGUCAGGGGUGAAAUCCUGGAGCUCAACUCCAGAACUGCCUUUGAUACUGAAGAUCUUGAGUUCGGGAGAGGUGAGUGGAACUGCGAGUGUAGAGGUGAAAUUCGUAGAUAUUCGCAAGAACACCAGUGGCGAAGGCGGCUCACUGGCCCGAUACUGACGCUGAGGCACGAAGGCGUGGGGAGCAAACAGGAUUAGAUACCCCCGUAGUCCCUGUCUCUUAUAC